rnacentral:rRNA from 1 species
AUGAACCUUGCGCCCUUCGCUCGGACCGGCGAGGGUCGCGCAGGCAUUGGCUGCCGUCGCCAAUGUGUAGUUGUUUGGCCUAAUUCCUUCGAGCAUCAUGGGACCGAGCACUCCGAUGGCCUUGGCGGGCUCGCCACACUGCAGCCAACCGGCGGCCAUCUCCGUCCACGACACGACGUCUCUCCGGGGCAUCUCGGUGAACGCUCUGUUGCCGGACUCCAGGGCCCCGUUCUUCGUGUACAUCUCCACCAAGGAGUUGCCCACGCAGACAUCGUCGCCGAAGCCGCUCUUGACAAGCUGCCCAUGGACCUGCAAACCGCUCACCGUGUCCGCGUCGGCCGUCAGCCCCGAGAGCACGAUGCUGAACGAGAACCCGUCGGCCCCGGCGCCUUCCCGGGACAUCCUCCGCCAGAGAAUCCACAUGCGCGUCCGCGAGCGGCGCGCGAGCCCGGCGAGCAGCGUGUUCCACGAGACGAUGUCGCGGCGGCCGGAGGCCCACUCGAACAGCCGCACGGCGUCGGCGAGCCGCUCCUGCCGGACCAUCGCCGCGAGGAACGCGUUCAGCACGAAGGCGUGGGACUGGAAGCCGAGCCGGACGGCGAGGGCGUAGAGCUGCCGCGCGUGCGCGCCGGCGGGGGCGACGAGCGAGCUGGCGUUGAGCGCGCUCACGAACGCGAACUCGCUGGGCGGGGCCCCCUCGCGCCGCAUGGCGCGGAAGAGCGCGAGCGCCUCGCGGGGCCGGGCCCCCUGCGCGAGCCCCGAGACGGCGGCGGCCCAGGAGACGGCGUUGCGGCGGGGCAUUUCGUCGAGCAGGCGGAGGCCGUGGUGGCGGGGCCGGAGCGGCGACCUGAAGUAGGCGAUGAGGAGGUGGUUGGCCAGGAACUGGUCGCAAGCGAGGAGGCCCGGCUUGAGGAUCGCCGCGUGGAGGGAGGCGACGCGGCGGGGGUCGGCGCUGCGCUGGAGGAUGGCCGCGUAGGCGCGGGACUGCUGGCACGCCAUGGCCGACGGGUGCGAUCUGUCAUGCGGUUUUGUGCGAGCGAGGUUUCAGAAGACGUAUAUGUGAACUAG